rnacentral:tRNA from 1 species
GUCCGUGUAGCCCAAUCGGUAGAGGCGGCGCUUUCAAACGGCGCGCGAUCGCGGUUCGAAUCCGUGCACGGACA